CAGCCGCCGCGGUAAUACAGAGGGUGCGAGCGUUAAUCGGAUUUACUGGGCGUAAAGCGUGCGUAGGCGGCUUCUUAAGUCGGAUGUGAAAUCCCUGAGCUUAACUUAGGAAUUGCAUUCGAUACUGGGAAGCUAGAGUAUGGGAGAGGAUGGUAGAAUUCCAGGUGUAGCGGUGAAAUGCGUAGAGAUCUGGAGGAAUACCGAUGGCGAAGGCAGCCAUCUGGCCUAAUACUGACGCUGAGGUAAGAAAGCAUGGGGAGCAAACAGGAUUAGAUACCCCCGUAGUCCCUGUCUCUUAUAC
rnacentral:rRNA from 1 species